AGUGUAGGCGGGAUCGUAAGUUAGGAGUUUAAUACAUGGGCUUAACCCAUGAGCUGCUUUUAAUACUGCGGUUCUUGAGUAUGGGAGAGGGCGAUGGAAUUCCAGGUGUAGCGGUGGAAUGCGUAGAUAUCUGGAAGAACACCAGUAGCGAAGGCGGUCGCCUGGCCCAAUACUGACGCUGAUGCUCGAAAGCUAGGGGGAGCAAACAGGAUUAGAUACCCUGGUAGUCCUAGCCGUAAACGAUGGACACUAGUUGCUGGAGGAGUCAAUCCUUUCGGUGACGAGCUACGCAUUAAGUGUCCCGCCUGGGGAGUACGUUCGCAAGGAUGAA
rnacentral:rRNA from 1 species